CCCUACUCUAAUAAGGCUUUAAUAUCUGGAGCUCAUAGGUGGGAGAUAAAAUAUAUACAUACUUACAAGACAUUUAUUGUAUAGUCAAACCAUGGAUCCAAAGAAACAAGUCAAUAAGUCAAAUCAAGAUGCGCAUGUGUGGCGAAUGAAUGGUGUAUGGAGAUGAUGGUGAUAACAAUGGUGAAAGUCUAAUUCUACUUUUGCUCUUUUGAGGGGAUGCAUACCUUUCUUGCUUCUUUUUGAAACUUGAGGAGAAUGAGAUGCUCUAUAUUUUCCUUUUUCUUUCCUCUUAGGUGGGUAUUUUGUACCCCUAAUUCUACUGUAGGACACUUGUCCAUUUUUACCUCUCGUCUUACUUUUUCUUUCGAGGUUCCGGGCACUUGCCCCUUUUUAUUUCCUCGUAUUUUUUUCUUUUUUUUAGAACACUCAUCUCCUGAAAUAACAUAGCAAGUUGUAGUAAAGAUAAGUUGAGCAUUUAUUUCACAGGGGAAAAACAGAAAUAUUUUUGGCUAUUCUCUCCCGGAUUAGGAGUAGAAUAUUUUUGGGUAGUUCUGGAGAUGGAAAUUGGUGGAUAUAUGUGGAUGGUGCUUCCGGAGUAGAAGCAGCAUGUGUGAGUGAACGUGCAAGUGAAUCUUGAUUUAACCACAUGACAAGCUCCUAAGGGUCUACAGAGCUUGACCACACUCAAUGCUCAUAAGCAAUAAAAAGUAAAUGUGUGGCUCAAAGUCUAGCAAGCAUGUAUAUAUGGCUGUGGUAGGAAUUUAAACUCUCAUCAUACAGGAACUCAUCAUGUAAUAUUUUAAAGAUUUUUAAAAGAUAAAAUUCUCCAGAAUUCUAGCAUCUCUAGAAACAGAUAAACAGCAACUCAACCUUCCUAUAUCAUAUCCGUUAACAACUUAGACUUCAGAUCAAGUUUUCUUCCCACAAGUUUAGGUUUAUAGCAAGCUUUAAAUUAUAACAGUUAUGUCUAAACUUGAGAGAGAACUUUAAAUUUGAAAAUUAGGCAGAGCAACUAUUCAUCAUAUCCAUGCUAGAGUUUUAUUAUUACGAUUCAAAUUAGCAUAGCCACUUUAUUUAUUUAUUAAACACACUAAGCAAAAGACAUAUAUAUAUAAGCACAAAAUCUUUAUUUGGUUUUCCAUAAUUAUGUAUAUUUAUAUUUUAAUAUAGUAUAAGUAUAAAGAUAGUUAGAAAUACUUAUCGGGAUAAAUGGAGGUGCUCUCCCCCAAGCUGAAUUUUGACGUAAUUUCUUCUGAUGUAGCUAGCAGGUGGUAGAGGUGUAUUUGAAAGUCGGCAGUAUCUUGACAGCGAUUAGAAUGUCCUCCGUCUACUAGUCUUCUUGAUUCUUAAAUUUUGUGGAGCUCAAAUACACAACAAAGCUUUGUGGAGUUGAUUAAGUGUUAACAUAAAUAUCUAGCCUUUAUCAUGUUGAGCCUCCUUAAUAAAUGUUACUCUCUAUUUUUAUAUUUUCAUUUUAUUAAGCAGAAAAUAAAUAUUUAUUUUAUUUUUAUGCCACCACAGUGAAUGUACUUAUGGGUUUCAUGCCACUCGUAUACUCAAAUGGGGCUUACUAUUUUUUAACAUUUUUAUUUUCUUUUUAGGAUAGUAUGAACAUGAUUAACUAAGCAAAUUGUUUAAAAUAAUUAAAAGAGAAAGGAUAACUACCAAGUUUACCUCUUGGCAAGGCGUUCGGUGUUUUUAAGUCCUCCGAACGGGACUCUCCGUUUUCUCAAUUGUCCUGGGAUUCGUUGGGUGGCGUAGUCGGUACUUCUGGCGGCGCCUCCUCUUCAUGUAUAGUUAUCUUCUCUUUCCACACCUGACUCGGCGCUACGGUCACCUCUGGAUAAUUAUGUUUAAACUGUAUGUCUUCUGACCUUAUCACUUCUCCUUCAUAGUCUGCCCAUCCGUCCUUGAUGAUUUGCCUCCUCUGGUUGCGUUUGCGUCGUUUUCUGACCUGCUUAGAGUCUUCAACGAUAUAGUUAGGGUCAGUAAAAUAGCGGCGUACCUUCUCUGAGGGGAAGUGCAUAUGGACUUCUCCGGUUCCAAUGUAGAUGAUCGCUUUAACGGUGCUGAGGAACGGUCUUCCAAGGAUGAUGGGUGGAUCGUAUUCGUCUUCUCCCAUGUCAAUAACCUGAAAGUCUGUGUAGACAAAAUGAUCAUCUAUUUUGAAUGUCUGAUCUACCAUCUGGAGUUGAAUGUAUGUUGGUUUUAGGGGCAUGGUUCCGAACAUGAGCGGAUAGGUGACUGCGGCCAUUAUGUUGACGCCCGAUCCUGUGUCGCAAGUUGUCUUGUAGAAGUUGUAUCCAUUUAUGGAGCAAUAGAUGCUUAGCAUUCCUAGGUCGUCCUUCUUGGCGAUGAUCUUGACCUCCAUGAACUACAGUGACCAUCUUAGCUGACUCGGUCCACACUUGCUUGUUCCUGUUCCUCCUGUUGGUCCUUUUCCUUGGUUCACGUCUGGAUUAAUCUGGGAUUUGUGUAGUCUUGUUCUUGAAGGAAAAUGUCUCCUUCCUCCCUUUGAUGUAGAAACUGAUCUUGGCAGCACUAGCGUAGAUGACAGCUCCUGAGGUGUUUAAGAAUGGCCUCCCUAAGAUGAUGGGUGCCCUCUCAUCAUUACCGGUCUCUAUCACCACGAAGUCUGCUGGGGCGUAUAAGGUACCAACUCGGACACAGAGGUUCUUCAAUAUUCCUUUUGGAAAACUUAUCGUCUGAUCUGCAAACUGCAGACACAUGGUUGUUUUUGAUAAAGGAUAUGUAAAGCAUUUUUCAUAGAGUACCCUGGGCAUAAUGUUGACACUAGAGCCAAAGUCACAGAGUGCUCCUGGGAAGUCCACCAUGCCGAUGGAGAUCGAGAUGACGGGGCGUCCUGGAUCGCCUCUCUUGACCGGCAGAAGGUCAGUAGUAACUUCAGUGACGGGGUUACUCCAGUAGUUACCUGCAUCAAACAUGUCUACAAGAUUUGCAGAUUCUAAUCCUUCCGGUUGUGAUGGUAUACCGGGGUUAGUAGUAGGAACAGCAGCAGCUAUUUGAUUUAACUGAGAUUCAAUCAUUUUAUUAAAGCUAAUUUGAUUCAUGAUGGCUGUAGAGAAAUUAUUCAUUCUGUUGUUUAUAUUUUCUAACAUUUUAUCAUUAGAUGUCAAUUUCUUAGAUAGGUUAUCCAUUAGCUUUCCUUGAUUAGACACUAACUCUCUCAGAGGUGGAAAAUUAUUGUUAUUGUUGUAAGAAUUGUUACCUUGAUAAUUACCUGAGUAGUUAGGCCUCUGUUGAUUCCAACCUUGAAUUUGCUGAGGACGGUUGUAGUAGUAGUUGUUGUUAUUGUUGACGUAGUUCACAUCCUCAAGCAUCUCAGGGCAGUGAUUGCCUGAGUGUCCAGUGUCUCCACACUCCUCACAAGUCAUGUGAGAGUCGUAGAUGUGCAUAACUUCUUUCUUAUCUCCAGUUCUAUCAUCGAGCUUCUUCAUGAGCAGGUCUAGCUUAGCAGACAGCAUGUCUACCUCCUUGAGCUGAUGCAUACCUCCACCUCUCUUGCGUGUCUGGGUCCUUUCUUCAUUCCAGCUUUGAUUGGACGCCAUCUUCUCCAUAAGAGUUGCGGCUUGUGAUAUGGUAAGUGAUAGGAAUGCUCCUUUAGCUGCAGCAUCCAUGGUUUCUUGGGCACUGUUGCCGAGCCCAUGAUAAAAUGUCUACAUCAGUAGCCAACUCUCCAUUCAAUGAUGGGGACAUUCUAGGAUGUAGUCUUGGAAGCGCUCCCUGUUGGGUAUUUUAAACGCAAACAGAAAAAUCCGCAAGCGCACGGAUACCGAUGUAGCCUUCACCCGGGAGUAUUCCAGAGUAUCGAUUUUCCACAGAGAACGUGAGUGUACUAAUUAAGAUCCAAGAUCGCCCAAGGAUAACUAUAUAAUUAUUUUUGGUGGGAAGAGAGGAAGUUUCCUGAGAGUUCUCUAGUUGAUCUAAGAAUCAAGAAUUACUUCAAGAUUAUUUAUAUCGGGACAUCAGAGCACUAGCCACAGAAAGAGAUGAGAAGGGGGCUAGGAAGGUCUAACUACGGUCCUACAAACACCGAUCCGAACGUGGUGGAAUACGUCGACCAUUAGGGCUGUCACUACCCUAAGGCUACCACAACAAUCCGCAGGAUUGGGUGCAAUUCUAGGUAAUUGCAAGACUAAACACCACGUCUAAUCUAUUAAUUACUACUCUAAUGUUUCAAAGAUUAGAGCACUUGAUGCAAGCGGGAAUCCAAUAAAUAACUUGAAUGUAAAUAAAAGUAAUUAGAGAACUUAGGAGUUAUGAAUUGAAGAACCUGGAGAACAAUGAAGGACGGACCAGAUGCUGCAAAAGUACAAUGUUGAGGAAGAUCCGACAGAUCUGGCUCCUCCUCCGCUCUCCUCUUCUCUCCCUAUUUUCUAGAUUACAACUAGAACUAACUAGAAAUAGAACUAGAGGAACUAGAACUAGAACUAGAUGAACUAGAACUAGAUCUAGAUGAACUAGAGGUAGAACUAGAAGAACUAGAGGGAUCCUCUCUACUUGGAUGAAGAAUUGAAACCCUAGCUUUGAUUCUGUAGAAGAGGUAUGAUCUCCAGGGGCCAGGGGGUCUGGUUUUAUAGUCCCUUCAAGUGAAUCUGGGCCGUCGGAUCAAACCGACAUUGAUCGUGUGGUUUUCCUUGAUCCUUUAGGUCGGUGGAGCAUAAUCCGCGAAACGUGUCCUGAUUGGGCACUGUAGCUGGGUGGGCGCCCAGGAGAGUUGGGCGGGCGCCCUGCCUCCGAGCCCGAUUUCCUUCCCGUUCGUUCCCGUGGCUUCUGGAGUCUUCUAGAUGAUAGAAAAUUGCGCGACACGUUAAUAUCUCUAUGUAAACCCGACGUGUGGGCCUUUCUUCCGUAUUUCCUGAUAACCCCCUGCAGAAAUAGACAAACACCAAAACUCGUGGAAUUCUGUCAGAUAAAACCCUAAGUCUGGGUGUUGGUUGCAUUUGGAUCCUUUUCUAUGAUUAGUUGAUGGUUAAAUGUGAGCAUUAAGGACCGUCAACAAGCUCCCCCAAGCUUAACCUUUGCUCGUCCCUGAGCAAAGAUGAACUCAAGAAUUUCUGCAGUGGUUUCAUGCCUUAAAGAUACACAUGCGUUUAAACAAGAUCUCAUCUCUAGGUUAGGGUAAACUGUUAAGAUUUAAACUCUCAUAUUACCUUCCACCAUGGGGCUUGCAACCGUGACUUAUGUCUUGAGCAGUUAAAAGAUAGAACGGUCUAAUCAAGCGCCAUGUCUCAUGUUCUUGAUCAACUAUAGCUCUGGAGUUUUUGCAGAUUUUCAAAUAAAACUCAGAGAUUCCUUGUAUGACUCUCUCUAGUCUCUCUUUUGUGGUAUUUCUGGAUCCUUACUAAGGCAGUAAUGGUAUAUGCCUUCUCUCAAAGUAUGUAGUAUUUUUGGUAUGGGGCAUAGUGGCAUUGCCUUCUCUCUCACCCUACUCUAAUAAGGUUUUGAUAUCUGGAGCUUAUAGGUGGGAGACAGCUAAUACAUACUUACAAGACAUUUAUUGCAUAGUCAAACAUGGAUCCAGAAGAACAAGUCAAUAAGUCAAAUCAAGAUGUGCAUGUGUGGCGAAUGAAUGAUGUAUGGUGACGAUGGUAAUAACAAUGGUGAAAGUCUAAUUCUACUUGUGCUCUUUUGAGGGGGUACAUACCUUUCUUGCUCUUUUGAAACUUUUUGAGGAGAAUGAGAUGCUCUAUAUUUUCUUUUUCUUUUCUCCCAGGUGGGUAACUUGUACCCCUAAUUCUACUAUCGGACACUUGUCCAUUUUUACCUCUCGUCUCACUUUUUCUUUUCUUUCGAGGUUCCGGGCACUAGCCCCUUUUUAUUUCCUCAUAUCUCUUUUUUUUUUCUUUUUUUUCUUCUUUUUUUUAGAGAGCACUCAUCUCAUGAAAUAAUAUAGCAAGUGGUAGUAACAAGAUAACUUGACAUUUAUUUCACAGGGAAAAACAGAAAUAGGAGAAUAUUUUUGGCUAUUCUCUCCCGGAUUAGGAGUAGAAUAUUUUUGGGUGGUUCUGGAGAUGGAAAUGGAUGGAUAUAUGUGGAUGGUACUUCUGGAGUAGAAGUAGCAUGUGUGAGUGAACGUGCAAGGUGUAUGCCUUCUCUCAAAGUAUGUGAUAUUUGUGGUAUAAGGCAUAGUGGCAUUGCCUUCUCUCUCACCCUACUCUAAUAAGGCUUUUGAUAUCUGGAGCUCAUAGGUGGGAGACAGCUAAUACAUACUUACAAGACAUUUAUUGCAUAGUCAAACCAUGGAUCCAGAAGAACAAGUCAAUAAGUCAAAUCAAGAUGUGCAUGUGUGGCGAAUGAAUGGUGUAAGGUGAUGAUGGUGAUAACAAUGGUGAAAGUCUAAUUCUACUUGUGCUCUUUUGAGGGGAUACAUACCUCUCUUGCUCUUUUGAAGCUUUUUGAGGAGAAUGAGAUGCUCUAUAUUUUCUUUUUCUUUCCUCUCAGGUGGGUAUCUUGUACCCCUAAUUCUACUAUCGGACACUUGUCCAUUUUUACCUCUCGUCUCACUUUUUCUUUUCUUUCGAGGUUCCGAGCACUUGCCCCUUUUUAUUUCCUCGUAUUUUUUUUUCUUUCUUCUUCUUUUUUUUAGAGCACUCAUCUCCUGAAAUAAUAUAGCAAGUGGUAGUAACCAAGAUAACUUGACAUUUAUUUCACAGGGAAAAACAGAAAUAGGAGAAUAUUUUUGGCUAUUCUCUCCCGGAUUAGGAGUAGAAUAUUUUUGGGUGGUUCUGGAGAUGGAAAUGGAUGGAUAUAUGUGGAUGGUACUUCUGGAGUAGAAGUAGCAUGUGUGAGUGAACGUGCAAGUGAAUCUUGAUUUAACCACAUGACAAGCUCCUAAGGGUCUACACAGCUUGACCACACUCAAUGCUCAUAAGCAAUAAAAAGUAAAUGUGUGGUUCAUAGUCUAACAAGCAUGUAUAUAUGGCUGUGGUAGGAAUUUAAACUCUCAUCAUACAGGAACUCAUCAUGCAACAUUUUAAAGAUUUUCAAAGAUAAAAUUCUCCAGAAUUCUAGCAUCUAGGAACAGAUAAACAGCAGCUCAACCUUCCCAUAUCGUAUCCAUUAACGACUUAGACUUUAGAUCAAGUACUCUCCCCACAAGUUCAGGUUUAGAGUAAAUCUUAAUUAAUAACAGUCAGGCCUAAACUUGAGAGAGAUUUCAAUUUUGAGAACUAGUCAUGGCAGAGCAACUAUUCAUUAUUUCCAUGUGAGAGCUUAUUAUGAGGAUUCAAGCAAACUUUAUUUAUUUAUUUAUUUAGCAAACUAAGCAAAGAUAAGCACAAAAUCUUUAUUUGGGUUUUUAUGAUUAUGCAUCUUUUUAUUAUUGGAGUAAAGUAUAAACGUGAGUAGAAUACUUAGCUGGAUAAAUGGGGGUGCUCUCCCCCAAGCUGGAUUUUGACGUAAUUCCUUCUAAUGUAGCUAGCAGGUGGUGGAGUUGUAUAUGAAUGCCGGCAGCACCCUGACAGCGAUUAGGAUGUCCUCCGUCUGCUAGUCUUCUUUGAUCCUUGAAUUCUGUGGAGCUCAAAUAGACAACAAAACUUUGUGGAACUAGUUAAGUGUUAGCAUAAAAACUCUUAGCCGUUAUCAUGUUGAGCUUCCUCUAAUAAAUUUUACUCUCUUUGGUAGGAUCAUAAAUCUAUUUUUAUAAUUUUAUUUUUAUAGGACAGGAAUAUAUUUGUUUUAUUUUUAUGCCACCACAGUGAAUGUACUUAUGGGUUUUAUGCCAUGAGCAUACUCACAUGGGGCUUACUUAACAUUUUUAUUUUCUUUUCAAGAUGAUAUGAACCUGAUUAACUAAGAAAACUAUUUUAAAAUAAUUAAAAGGAAAAAGAUAACUACCAAGUUUACCUCUUGGCAAGGCGUUCGGUGUUUUUAAGUCCUCCGAACGGGACUCUCUGUUUUCUCAGUCGUCCUGGGAUUCGCUGGAUGGCAUAGUCGGUGGUUCCGGCGGUGCUUCCUCUUCGUGUAUAACUAUCUUCUCUCUCCACACCUGACUCGGUGCUGUCUCCUCAGGACAGUUCUGUUCAAGCUGUAUGUCUUCAGACCUUACUACUUCUCCUUCGUAGUCUGGCCAUCCAUCCUUGAUGAUUUGCCUUCUCUGGAUGCGGUUGCGUCGUCUUCUUCUUGUCCUGACCUGCUUAGAGUCUUC
rnacentral:lncRNA from 1 species